GGAAGAGUGGCAGAGUGGUCGAUUGCACUGGUCUUGAAAACCAGCGAACCGAGAGGUUCCGUGGGUUCGAAUCCCACCUCUUCCGCCA
rnacentral:tRNA from 2 species